CUGAAGCACCAGCUUGCUGGUGUGGAUGAGUGGCGAACGGGUGAGUAAUACGUGAGUAACCUGCCCUUGACUCUGGGAUAAGCCCGGGAAACUGGGUCUAAUACUGGAUGCUACAUGUCACCGCAUGGUGGUGUGUGGAAAGGGUUUACUGGUCUUGGAUGGGCUCACGGCCUAUCAGCUUGUUGGUGAGGUAAUGGCUCACCAAGGCGACGACGGGUAGCCGGCCUGAGAGGGUGACCGGCCACACUGGGACUGAGACACGGCCCAGACUCCUACGGGAGGCAGCAGUGGGGAAUAUUGCACAAUGGGCGAAAGCCUGAUGCAGCGACGCCGCGUGAGGGAUGACGGCCUUCGGGUUGUAAACCUCUUUCAGCAGGGAAGAAGCCACAAGUGACGGUACCUGCAGAAGAAGCGCCGGCUAACUACGUGCCAGCAGCCGCGGUAAUACGUAGGGCGCAAGCGUUGUCCGGAAUUAUUGGGCGUAAAGAGCUCGUAGGCGGUUUGUCGCGUCUGCUGUGAAAGCCCGGGGCUUAACCCCGGGUGUGCAGUGGGUACGGGCAGACUAGAGUGCAGUAGGGGAGACUGGAAUUCCUGGUGUAGCGGUGGAAUGCGCAGAUAUCAGGAGGAACACCGAUGGCGAAGGCAGGUCUCUGGGCUGUUACUGACGCUGAGGAGCGAAAGCAUGGGGAGCGAACAGGAUUAGAUACCCUGG
rnacentral:rRNA from 1 species